UCUCCGUGGGUGAACCUGCGGAGGGAUCAUUACAGGGUUCUCGCCCUCGCGGGUAGAUCUCCCACCCACUGUUAUCGUUACUGUCGUUUCUUUGGCGGGCCGCCGGGUCCCCGGCCGCCGGCGUCUAAUAGGCGGCGCGCGCCCGCCAGAGGCAUCCGAACCCUGAAUGUUAGUCUCGUCUGAGUACUAUAUAAUAGUUAAAACUUUCAACAACGGAUCUCUUGGUUCUG
rnacentral:misc_RNA from 1 species